rnacentral:ncRNA from 1 species
GCAAAAGCGAAGAAGAGGACAGUAGUAAAAGAAGGCUAUGCCCAGAGAGAUAAUCCUAGUGGUGAAAGAUUAUCAUAGAAUUCUUUUAUGAGAUCACCUCAGAGCUGAAUUCCUGAAAACAAUAGUAAGGGAUUUCGUGUGGAUGCGUUAAAGAUUUGAGUGAUAAGGGUUUCCCUUUAUAAUCAGGGUGGUACCACGGUCUAUUCGUCCCUAAG